AUGUUUCAGUUUUCCUUAAGCAUGUUCAGUGAAAUGCUCCGACCAUUCAUCAUGUCGUACAGAUGUUGGUCAGUGUCUAUGCUUCCAGGCACUGAACGGGAAGACGUAGAACGCGGUGGAAAAAUUAUAAUGCCACCUUCGGCUUUAGACACGUUGACACGAUUGAAUAUCAAUUACCCCAUGUUGUUCAGGCUUACCAAUAAGAAAAAAAAUAAAGUAACCCAUUGUGGAGUGUUGGAGUUUAUUGCAGAUGAAGACAAAGUAUACAUUCCAUAUUGGAUGAUGAAAAAUAUAUUACUAGAUGAAGGGGAUUUAGUUCAAGUUGAAAGUGUUUCAUUAGAUGUUGCCACAUUUUCAAAGUUCCAACCUCAAAAUUCUGAAUUCCUCGACAUUACUAAUCCAAAAGCGGUUUUAGAAAAUUGCUUACGUAAUUUUGCUUGUCUUACUACUGGCGAUAUCAUAGCCAUUAAGUAUAAUCAAAAAAUUUAUGAAAUGCGUGUCUUGAAAACUGAACCUGGUGAUGCUGUUAGUAUUAUUGAGUGUGAUAUGAAUGUUGACUUUGCUCCACCGGUUGGUUAUAAGGAACCUGAUCAUGGAAAAAAAGACACUGAUGAAGAAAUGAUGGUUGAUCCUGCUGAUUUAAUGCCCGAACCCACUGGUUUUAUGGCAUUUAAAGGUUCAGGCAACAGAUUGGAUGGUAAAAAGAAAAAAAAUAAUGUUGAUGAUGAGUCAAAUCAAGUAAAAGUAGCCUAUCAAAGAGGUAUUCCUGAUUAUAAUUAUACUGUGGGAACUAUACAAUUCAUAAGAAAUAUUCGACCUGUAACUAAUAAUCAAGAGAAUGAAAAUAAAGAUGGAUUUAAAGCAUUUGGAGGUUCCGGAUCAGUACUAAAGCCCAAACCUAAAAAGAAAUAAAAGUAAUCAGUUGGAUGGAUAACAAAUAAUUGCAACCAAUCGAUAGUUAAAAAUUUAUGCUGUUAAUGUCUCUCUGCUGCGGCAUGAUUCAUGAACUAUUAUUAUCGUUCAGUAUUUAUCAUUAAUUUAUAAUUUAAUGACAUUUUACUUCUGGUACGAAAAAUAACAAUGUCAAUUGGUUGUUUGUACGUUAAAUUUAUAUAUUAUCAAUCUUAUGAAAAAAUACUGGAUUUGAUGCAAUAUGCAUUAUUUCGAAAAUAUUCGAUGGAACUGAAAUGUCCAGAACUUAUCUCCCAGAUGACCUUAGCUUCAAUGACAUAGCAUUCAUGCAAUAUGCUCCAUUAUAUUUAUAAAUUUUGAAAGGAGUUUUUCAGCAUACAAAAAUUUGUUGACAAACAAUCGACAAUCAUUUUUAUUUGUUAACACCAAACGAGUACUUGUUGUCCAUUGCAAUAGUCAAGACGAAUAAGAUUUUUCAGAUGAGUAGAAUCAAUCAAGUUCCGAAUCAAAAUUCAAAUUCGAUCAACAUUUUAUAUUUUCUUUUUAAUAAAAUAAAUACAU